CGGGGUGACCGGAUAGUCGCUCUAUGUGAGAGGAAAGUCCGGGCUUCACAGGGCAGGAUGCUUCCUAACAGGAAGGUUGUUUCCGCGCUUCUCUCAAAGGACGGAAACAAACGGAAAGUGCCACAGAAAAUAUACCGUCCGCCUCAGGCGGAUAAGGGUGAAAAGGCGAGGUAAGAGCUCACCGCUCCUGUGGUGACACAGGAGGCACGGCAAACCCCAUCCGAAGCAAAACCAAGCAGGCCCCGUAUGAAGCGGCCCGCUUCUUCUGCAUACUGCAGAAACGGGGUGGGUAGGUUGCGCAGAGCCUGGUAGUGAUACCAGGACAAGAUAAAUGACUAUCUAAAACAGAACCCGGCUUACGGGUCACCCCACUGU
rnacentral:RNase_P_RNA from 1 species